ACAACAGUUGGAAACGACUGCUAAUACCGCAUAAGCCCACGACCCGGCAUCGGGUAGAGGGAAAAGGAGCAAUCCGCUUUGAGAUGGCCUCGCGUCCGAUUAGCUAGUUGGUGAGGUAAUGGCCCACCAAGGCGACGAUCGGUAGCCGGACUGAGAGGUUGAACGGCCACAUUGGGACUGAGACACGGCCCAGACUCCUACGGGAGGCAGCAGUGGGGAAUAUUGCACAAUGGGGGAAACCCUGAUGCAGCGACGCCGCGUGGAGGAAGAAGGUCUUCGGAUUGUAAACUCCUGUUGUUGAGGAAGAUAAUGACGGUACUCAACAAGGAAGUGACGGCUAACUACGUGCCAGCAGCCGCGGUAAAACGUAGGUCACAAGCGUUGUCCGGAAUUACUGGGUGUAAAGGGAGCGCAGGCGGGAAGACAAGUUGGAAGUGAAAUCCAUGGGCUCAACCCAUGAACUGCUUUCAAAACUGUUUUUCUUGAGUAGUGCAGAGGUAGGCGGAAUUCCCGGUGUAGCGGUGGAAUGCGUAGAUAUCGGGAGGAACACCAGUGGCGAAGGCGGCCUACUGGGCACCAACUGACGCUGAGGCUCGAAAGUGUGGGUAGCAAACAGGAUUAGAUACCCUGGUAGUCCACACCGU
rnacentral:rRNA from 1 species